rnacentral:rRNA from 1 species
AUUGAACGCUGGCGGCAUGCCUUACACAUGCAAGUCGAACGGCAGCACGGGGCAACCUGGUGGCGAGUGGCGAACGGGUGAGUAAUGCAUCGGAACGUACCUUUCAGUGGGGGAUAACGUAGCGAAAGUUACGCUAAUACCGCAUAUUCUGUGAGCAGGAAAGCAGGGGAUCGCAAGACCUUGCGCUGAUUGAGCGGCCGAUGUCAGAUUAGCUAGUUGGUGAGGUAAAGGCUUACCACGGCGACGAUCUGUAGCGGGUCUGAGAGGAUGAGCCGCAGCACUGGAACUGAGACACGGUCCAGACUCCUACGGGAGGCAGCAGUGGGAAAUUUUGGACAAUGGGGGCAACCCUGAUCCAGCCAUGCCGCGUGAGUGAAGAAGGCGUUCGGGUUGUAAAGCUCUUUCGGCCGGGAAGAAAUCGCACGGGCUAAUACCCUGUGUGGAUGACGGUACCGGAAUAAGAAGCACCGGCUAACUACGUGCCAGCCGCCGCAGUAAAAC